rnacentral:rRNA from 1 species
UGGGGAAUAUUGCACAAUGGAGGGAACUCUGAUGCAGCGACGCCGCGUGAGCGAUGAAGGAAUUCGUUUCGUAAAACUCUGUUCUAUGGGAAGAAAAGGACUGUACCAUAGGAGAAAGUUCCGGCUAAAUACGUGCCAGCAUCCGCGGUAAUACGUAUGGAGCGAGCGUCGUCCGGAAUUAUUGGGCGUACAGGGUGCGCAGGCGGCUUUACAAGUUGGAUGUGAAAUAUUGUGGCUCAACCACAAACGUGCAUCCAAAACUGCAAAGCUUGAGUGAAGGAGGGGUAAGUGGAAUUCCUGGUGUAGCGGUUGAAUGCGUAGAUAUCAGGAGGAAUACCGGUGGCGAAGGCGACUUACUGGACUUAAACUGACGCUCAGGCACGAAAGCGUGGGGAGCAAACAGG